GACGAACGCUGGCGGCGUGCCUAAUACAUGCAAGUAGAACGCACAGUUUAUACCGUAGCUUGCUACACCAUAAACUGUGAGUUGCGAACGGGUGAGUAACGCGUAGGUAACCUGCCUGGUAGCGGGGGAUAACUAUUGGAAACGAUAGCUAAUACCGCAUAAUAUUGAUUAUUGCAUGAUAAUUGAUUGAAAGAUGCUAUUGCAUCACUACCAGAUGGACCUGCGUUGUAUUAGCUAGUAGGUGAGGUAACGGCUCACCUAGGCGACGAUACAUAGCCGACCUGAGAGGGUGAUCGGCCACACUGGGACUGAGACACGGCCCAGACGCCUACGGGAGGCAGCAGUAGGGAAUCUUCGGCAAUGGACGAAAGUCUGACCGAGCAACGCCGCGUGAGUGAAGAAGGUUUUCGGAUCGUAAAGCUCGGUUGUAAGAGAAGAACGGGUGUGAGAGUGGAAAGUUCACACUGUGACGGUAUCUUACCAGAAAGGGACGGCUAACUACGUG
rnacentral:rRNA from 1 species